rnacentral:rRNA from 1 species
CCUACGGGAGGCAGCAGUAGGGAAUUGUUCGCAAUGGGCGCAAGCCUGACGACGCAACGCCGCGUGGAGGACGAAGAUCUUCGGGUCGUAAACUCCUGUCGAGCGGGAAGAACAGCGUGCGGGUUAAUACCCCGCACGCCCGACGGUACCGCUAGAGGAAGCCCCGGCUAACUCCGUGCCAGCAGCCGCGGUAAUACGGGGGGGGCAAGCGUUGUUCGGAAUUACUGGGCGUAAAGGGCUCGUAGGCGGCCAGCUAAGUCGGUUGUGAAAUCCCCCGGCUCAACCGGGGAACUGCGACCGAUACUGGUUGGCUUGAAGCCGGGAGAGGGAUGCGGAAUUCCAGGUGUAGCGGUGAAAUGCGUAGAUAUCUGGAGGAACACCCGUGGCGAAGGCGGCAUCCUGGACCGGUCUUGACGCUGAGGAGCGAAAGCCAGGGUAGCAAACGGGAUUAGAUACCCCGG